UCAACCCUCAGUGCCUCUGGCUGGUGUUGGGGUGCUGCCGCCUCCGGGCGGCACGCCCCCAAAUUCAGUGGCGAGCUCGCCAGUCUCCCGAGCGCAGUAGUUUACACCUCGCUCCGGGCAGACUGGUGCGGCCCGGCCGUUAAACCCCCCAAUUUUUAAUGGUUGACCUCGGAUCAGGUAGGAAUACCCGCUGAACUUAA
rnacentral:misc_RNA from 1 species